GACGAACGCUGGCGGCGUGCUUAACACAUGCAAGUCGAACGAAGUGGCGAACUGGUGAGUAACGCGUAAUCAACCUGCCCUUCUGAGGGGGACAACAGUGGGAAACGACUGCUAAUACCGCAUACUGAAGGAGGCGAUUGCGUCUGAUUAGCUAGUUGGAGGGGUAAAGGCCCACCAAGGCGAUGAUCAGUAGCCGGUCUGGGAGGUGGAACGGGCCCAUUGGGACUUGAAAUCGGCCCAGACUCCUACGGGAGGCAGCAGUGGGGGAUCUUCCGCAAUGGGCGAAAGUCUGACGGAGCAACGCCGCGUGGGUGGUGACGGCCUUCGGGUUGUAAAGCUCUGUUAAUCGGGACGCGGUACCGGAAUAGAAAGCCACGGCUAACUACGUGCCAGCAGCCGCGGUAAUUC
rnacentral:rRNA from 1 species